CGAGAGAGAGACUGUUCGGAUGGCUCUGAUGAGGAAGGCUGUGAUUCUAACAAGGCCCUUCCUCCUGUCCUGCCAACUCUGGCUCAGACCUGUACUAGUCCAUCAGUGAGGUGUCGGGGCUCAACUUUGUGCAUCUCCCAAACUCAGCUGUGUGACACAUUGAAAGACUGCCCUGAUGGUUUUGAUGAGGAGUCCUGCAUUACUAAAUGCCCAAACCGAGGUGAGUUCCGGUGUAACGACAGGAGGAAAUGUAUUGAUAGGAGCCUCGUUUGUGAUGGACGCGCUCAUUGCCAUGAUGGCUCAGAUGAGAUUGGCUGUCCAACGAUAGCUGCUCCAACGUCCCAAACUGUGCCCCUGAAGUGCCGUAUGGGUUCCAGACUGUGCAAGGAUGGUAGAGAGUGUGUCCUGCACA